rnacentral:rRNA from 1 species
UACAGAGGGUGCGAGCGUUGUUCGGAAUUAUUGGGCGUAAAGCGCUGGUAGGUGGCUAUUUAAGUCGCUUGUGAAAGCUCCAGGCUCAACCUGGAAAGUGCGGGCGAAACUGGGUAGCUUGAGUGCCGGAGAGGGUCGCGGAAUUCCCAGUGUAGAGGUGAAAUUCGUAGAUAUAGGAAGGAACACUAGUGGCGAAGGCGACCACCUGGACUGAUACUGACACUGAGGUGCGAAAGCGUGGGGAGCAAACAGG